rnacentral:rRNA from 2 species
CAGUGUACCCGCGGCAAGACGGAAAGACCCCGUGAACCUUUACUAUAGCUUGACACUGAACAUUGAGCCUUGAUGUGUAGGAUAGGUGGGAGGCUUUGAAGUGUGGACGCCAGUCUGCAUGGAGCCGACCUUGAAAUACCACCCUUUAAUGUUUGAUGUUCUAACGUUGACCCGUAAUCCGGGUUGCGGACAGUGUCUGGUGGGUAGUUUGACUGGGGCGGUCUCCUCCUAAAGAGUAACGGAGGAGCACGAAGG